rnacentral:tRNA from 1 species
GUCAAGGUGGUGGAGUGGUUAACACGUUCGCCUGCUAUUCCUCAGCAAAGCGGAUGCCUUCGGGCGCGCAGGUUCGAAUCCUGUCCUUGACG